UAGGUCUUGUUGGAGAAGCAGGGCACGUGCAAGUUGUACAUUCUAUGUAAGCUUUGGUACAUGUCAAAAAUGAAAUUUGCACGUGCUCCCCUUCUCCACCAUGAGUUC
rnacentral:pre_miRNA from 2 species